AACGAACGCUGGCGGCAUGCCUAACACAUGCAAGUCGAGCGGAUGACGGGAGCUUGCUCCUUGAUUCAGCGGCGGACGGGUGAGUAAUGCCUAGGAAUCUGCCUGGUAGUGGGGGACAACGUUUCGAAAGGAACGCUAAUACCGCAUACGUCCUACGGGAGAAAGCAGGGGACCUUCGGGCCUUGCGCUAUCAGAUGAGCCUAGGUCGGAUUAGCUAGUAGGUGAGGUAAUGGCUCACCUAGGCGACGAUCCGUAACUGGUCUGAGAGGAUGAUCAGUCACACUGGAACUGAGACACGGCCCAGACUCCUACGGGAGGCAGCAGUGGGGAAUAUUGGACAAUGGGCGAAAGCCUGAUCCAGCCAUGCCGCGUGUGUGAAGAAGGUCUUCGGAUUGUAAAGCACUUUAAGUUGGGAGGAAGGGCAGUAAGCUAAUACCUUGCUGUUUUGACGUUACCGACAGAAUAAGCACCGGCUAACUCUGUGCCAGCAGCCGCGGUAAUAC
rnacentral:rRNA from 1 species